UACGUAGGGGGCUAGCGUUGUCCGGAAUCAUUGGGCGUAAAGCGCGUGUAGGCGGCCCGGUAAGUCCGCUGUGAAAGUCGGGGGCUCAACCCUCGAAUGCCGGUGGAUACUGUCGGGCUCGAGUACGGGAGAGGCGAGUGGAAUUCCUGGUGUAGCGGUGAAAUGCGCAGAUAUCAGGAGGAACACCGAUUGCGAAGGCAGCUCGCUGGAACGUUACUGACGCUGAGACGCGAAAGCGUGGGGAGCGAACAGG
rnacentral:rRNA from 1 species